rnacentral:rRNA from 1 species
CGGGGUGCAGCAGGCGCGAAAACUUUACAAUGCCGGCAACGGCGAUAAGGGAACCUCGAGUGCCAGGUUAUAAAUCUGGCUGUCGUGAUGCCUAAAAAGCAUUGCAUAGCAAGGGCCGGGCAAGACCGGUGCCAGCCGCCGCGGUAACACCGGCGGCUCGAGUGGUAACCGUUAUUAUUGGGUCUAAAGGGUCUGUAGCCGGCCGGAUAAGUCUCUUGGGAAAUCCAGCAGCUCAACUGUUGGGCUUCCAGGAGAUACUGUCUGGCUCGAGGCCGGGAGAGGUGAGAGGUACUUCAGGGGUAGGGGUGAAAUCUUGUAAUCCUUGAAGGACCACCAGUGGCGAAGGCGUCUCACCAGAACGGACCUGACGGCAAGGGACGAAAGCUAGGGGCACGAACCGGAUUAGAUACCCGGGUAGUCCUAGCCGUAAACGAUACUCGCUAGGUGUCGGCCACGGUGCGACCGUGGUCGGUGCCGUAGGGAAGCCGUGAAGCGAGCCACCUGGGAAGUACGGCCGCAAGGCUGAAACUUAAAGGAAUUGGCGGGGGAGCACAAGGGCGAUUCGCG